GGAGGGAGCCGUCCAAAACCCUUCCCAAUGGGCGAAAGCCUGACCAUGCCACCCCCUGGGAACCAAAAAAGGCUUAAGGUCCUAAAGCUCUUUCCCCUGGGAACCAAAAAAAUUGGCUAAUACCCCACAGAUUUUAACGUACCCAGGAAAGAAACCCCCGCUAACUCCCUGCCCACCGCUGCCGUAAUACCGAAGGUGCAAGCGUUUCUCCGAUUUUUUGGGCGUUAAGGGCGUGGAAGCCGGAAUAAAAGUCCGAAGUGAAAUCCCGGGGCUCCACCUCCGAACCGCAUUUGAAACUCUUUCUCUUGAGGGGAGGGGGAAAAAACGGAAUUCCCCCAGUAACGGUGAAAUGGCUAAAUUUGUGGAAAAACCCCGGUGGGCAAAGGGGGUUUCUAGCUUAUUCC
rnacentral:rRNA from 1 species